CACCCAAUAGCAUAUGGUGUGCAUCUGCCUGGCAUAAUGAAGGUAUAUACGGCUGCGAACAGGAGGCCCUCGUUCGAUUCGGGGUUGGGUGA